rnacentral:rRNA from 1 species
CCUACGGGUGGCUGCAGUGAGGAAUAUUGGUCAAUGGGCGGGAGCCUGAACCAGCCAAGUCGCGUGAGGGAAGACGGUCCUACGGAUUGUAAACCUCUUUUGCCGGGGAGCAACGGGGUCCUUGCGAGGGCCCAAUGAGAGUACCCGGAGAAAAAGCAUCGGCUAACUCCGUGCCAGCAGCCGCGGUAAUACGGAGGAUGCGAGCGUUAUCCGGAUUUAUUGGGUUUACGGGGUGCGUAGGCGGGCUGUUAAUACAGCGGUCAAAUGUCGGGGCCAAACCGCGGACUGCCGUUGAAACUGGCGGCCUGGAGUGGGCGAGAGGUAUGCGGAAUGCGUGGUGUAGCGGUGAAAUGCGUAGAUAUCACGCAGAACUCCGAUUGCGAAGGCAGCAUACCGGCGCCCUACUGACGCUGAGGCGCGAAAGCGUGGGUAGCGAACAGGAUUAGAUACCCUUGUAGUC